AGGGCACUUAUUACAAAGAAGUCUUUACGUAAGUGCUGGAGAGGUUUGCCGAAUAGCCAGAUGUUGUUGCAGAGACAAUUCUCCUCCCCCUCUCCCCGCUUCUUUCCGACUUUAACAGUUCGAUUAAUUUUGCACAUAAAUCGGGGCUGAUAAAGUUGCAAACUCCACCACAUCUGGACACUGUUGAAGCCAGAUCAUUCGACGAUGCACGUUAGUCGUCUUUAAUCUCCCUUGAGAAAGUAAAAACUUCCACCAAGUCGUGCUGACCUACGCAUAUACUUCUGCGCUGUAAACACUGACAUCUGGGAGCCGCUCUCGGCGAGCACGCAGCGAUCUCCACCAAGCCAAGCGCUCACCCUUCGCUGUACAACAAGCCCGCAGCUGAUGCCAUCGGAGCGGGGCUACGACCAGCUCACUACGAAAUUCCCCUCUAUUUCCAACCCUCUGACUAACUGCCAUCAGGGGACAAAUCAAAGAAGGACAGCAGAAGCAAGGCAAGCAGACCCGGUCUCCUCCAGCAACCCAUUUUCUGGAUCCCACCAGCGACCAGGAGCCCGGCUUCACGGUGUUGAUCCGUUCAUCCUCCCUUGCUCUCCUGCCUCACUGCUGUCAACUCGGCAGCCCCGAAUUUGCGAGGCUGCCGGCCGGGCUGGCUGGGAAGGCGGACCCAGGCACAGCAAGCCCAGCUGUGCGUGGGGUCCGCCCAGGAACUGCAGCUCAUGAAGAAACUCAGCCCCGCUCUCCUCAUGAAAUAUAUACAGAUAUGGGAGGGGGGGAGCUGGGGGAAGAGCUCCGGCUACGGGAAAAGGGUUUGAUUUUUCCAACGAUGGCACUGAGCUGCUCCGAGCAGCCCAGGGAGCUUCGGAGGGGACCUAAUGUCUACUGCGCGCAUCUAAUCAGAAUGGUGUGGGCACAGCUGCAUGCCUCAUUCAUCUGAAUAAAACACGGAGGGGAACGCUUCUGUAUGCUGAGCUGUCAUUAAUUUGCUGAUUUUUUCCCCUUUUAGAAAUAAACUCUGUCUUUUAAGUAAGGUUCAACGGGCUCUGCUUUUCAUAACUGGAAGGUUUAGGGCAACUUCUUCAGAAAGACCACAUCACUAUGAGCUUAGCCUAAAGUAGGUGCUUUCAACCCAUUAAAGCAGCAGGAUUUAAACAUAUCCUUAUAUGUUUUCCUGAAUCAGGGCCUAAAAUAAUAACUUGGAGCCUUUAAAUAGCUGCUUUCUCCCCAAGAUCUCAAACUGCUGUACAAAAACUUGUGAGAAAUAUUAUCCCCACUUACAAAAGGGAAACUGUGAAACAUGGCAGAAAUCUGACUGGCCUUGGUUGUUAACACAAUCAAUCAGUGGGAAAAGUAGGAGUAAAGUCCUCAAACUCUUGCCCUAUGAUCUAUGCCCAUCCUUCAGAUCAUGUUAAAAUAACGAUCAAUGUAAUCAAGCGGAGCAGAGAGAAAGACGAUAUUAUUAAGAUUUUUUGCAGCCGAAAGCCUGCCCUAGGGUAAGGCUAAUUUU